rnacentral:rRNA from 1 species
AUUGAACGCUGGCGGAAUGCUUUACACAUGCAAGUCGAACGGCAGCACGGGGGCAACCCUGGUGGCGAGUGGCGAACGGGUGAGUAAUACAUCGGAACGUGCCCAGUCGUGGGGGAUAACGUAGCGAAAGCUACGCUAAUACCGCAUACGAUCUACGGAUGAAAGCGGGGGAUCGCAAGACCUCGCGCGAUUGGAGCGGCCGAUGGCAGAUUAGGUAGUUGGUGGGGUAAAGGCCCACCAAGCCAACGAUCUGUAGCUGGUCUGAGAGGACGACCAGCCACACUGGAACUGAGAGACGGCCCAGACUCCUACGGGAGGCAGCAGUGGGGAAUUUUGGACAGUGGGCGCAAGCCUGAUUGAGCAAUGCCGCGUGCAUGAAGAAGGCCUUCGGGUUGUAAACUGCUUUUGUACGGAACGAAACGGUCCGGGUUAAUACCCUGGGCUAAUGACGGUACCGUAAGAAUAAGCACCGGCUAACUACGUGCCAGCAGCCGCCGUAA